UACGUAGGGUGCGAGCGUUAAUCGGAAUUACUGGGCGUAAAGCGUGCGCAGGCGGUUUUGUAAGCCAGAUGUGAAAGCCCCGGGCUCAACCUGGGAAUGGCAUUUGGGACUGCAAGGCUUGAGUGCGGCAGAGGAGACUGGAAUUCCUGGUGUAGCAGUGAAAUGCGUAGAUAUCAGGAGGAAUACCGAUGGCGAAGGCAGGUCUCUGGGCUGACACUGACGCUCAUGCACGAAAGCGCGGGGAGCAAACAGG
rnacentral:rRNA from 1 species